AAGACUUUAAAACUGUGGAUAGGUUCACAUUCUGGCUUUGUCCAGCAAAUGUAGGUUCAUUUUAAUCCAAAGCAAAAAUGAAAUCAUUUAUUUAAACUUUGAAUUAAGUAAAUACUUCAUGUUUCAGGUAUGGGUUCUUGGUCUUCAAAAACAGCUACUCCAUCUUCACGUACAUUUAUUCAAAAGCUAUAAUCAUACGAGUUGUCAUUCAAUAAAAAAUGUACUAUACAUUGACAUUAUUUUCUCUUUAAAUUGUUUCUUGUCAGUUCUUGAAAACCCAUGGAGGCAAAUUAACUUUGGAAAGAACCCAACUGACCAGCAUUUUGUGGAGAACUACAAACCUCAGGUUGAAGAACAAAAGCUUAGGAUCCUCCCUUAUGGUCCAUUGUGACUGGAAAAUCUAGUUUAAUCAAUUCUGUAAACAGUGUCUUACAAAAGAGAGUACAUCGCGAGGUUUUGGUGGAGAGCACAUCUGGUACCAGCUGCACCAAAGAUGUAUGGACAGAGUACAACUAUGCCAAUAACAGUGAAUAUGUGACUCACUAAAUAACUUGUAGCAAGAGCAGCAAUCUGGCUGUGUCCAUGAAUGUGCAGGUUGGUGAAGGCUUUUAUCUAUGUUUUACUGUCAUGUAUGCCAAGUUAACAACAUGUGGUGGAGACCUGGCAUUGUAUAGUCUUAUGUUCAGCCGAAUGAAUGCACCAUGUUCAGAUCCUAUCAGUUACAUUAAUAUUAUUAUUAUUAUUAGUUAUAUUACUAGAUACAAUAGCUAUUAUUGUCUAAUUUCGUUAGCCUCUCCCCCAUCACCAGCUUGUGUUACAAAUGCCGCUUUCUAGUAGUAGUGGCACUCUAUCAGUGCCAGGUUCUCUAUCAGAUUCGCCCCUUGCUCACCACUUCUGGUUUCAAAAGGCCAAAAUAGGAACUUACAAAAUUUUCACCUUGAAGUUUCGGUAUGGAAUUCCACUAAGAGAACCUACAGGAUCCGGAAUGGAAACACCUUUUACUCUUUUGUCCUAAAUGACAUGGUGGGGUUCAAUUACACCAGCAGAAGACAGAGAAGAAUUCAUGUGAAAGAUGUCAAACAGGCACUAAAGGGCCACAUAAAUGAUGGUUACAAGUUCAACCCUGAAAAUAAACUGUCAAAAGACAAUGGAUACUACAACAGAGCUCCAACUGAGAAUGACAAAGUGCACGUUUUGGUUUGUGUUGUUGAUGCCAACACUGUAUCUCUGAAGAAUGGUGCCAUUGUGGAGGUAAUGCAGGAUGUCAGAGAUGAAGCCAGUGAUCUGGGGAUUCCACAAGUGGCAAUUUUCACCAAAAUUGACGAGGCUUUUCCUGAGAUAAACCAUGAUGUGACAAAUGUCUACAAGAGCAAAUCUCUUUAGCAAAAGAUUCAGCAGUUCAGCAAAUGUGUGGGCACCCCUAUUCACUCUAGUGAAGAACUACCAUUCAGAAACAGAACUCAAUCCUGACAUUGAUGCUAUAAUAAUGAACGCCCUGAGAAACAUCAUUGAAAUUGGAAAUGACUCAACGAAAAGUUACAAUCCCAGAUCUAGACAUCCACUGCACUGAAAGUGUAGUUUUGGUUCAAGUGUUAAAACCAUUACAGUCAUUGUAUGUGGUACAUUGUGUGUGAAAAGCAUGGUUUGAUUAAAAGUCUGAA